rnacentral:rRNA from 1 species
UACGGAGGGGGCUAGCGUUGUUCGGAAUUACUGGGCGUAAAGCGCACGUAGGCGGCUUUGCAAGUUAGAGGUGAAAGCCCGGGGCUCAACUCCGGAAUUGCCUUUAAAACUGCAUCGCUAGAAUUGUGGAGAGGUAAGUGGAAUUCCGAGUGUAGAGGUGAAAUUCGUAGAUAUUCGGAAGAACACCAGUGGCGAAGGCGGCUCACUGGACCGGAACUGACGCUGAGGCGCGAAAGCGUGGGGAGCAAACGGG